GGCUGGGCCUUUGUCUCUCGCUCCCACCAGAGCUUGGAAUCCGUCUCUGCUCUUCUGCAUUCUCCACCUCGGGAGCCCCUGGGGACUCUGUGACGGCCUCUGUUGCCCUGUGAUCUGCAGGUCCGGAGAGACGCACAGCUAAGAUGUCAGGACAUCCUGGAAGCUGGGAAAGGGUCUUGCCAUCUCUAAGCUGGACCUGGUGACCUUUUUGGAGGGAAAGAAAGAGCCCUGGACUGUGAAGAGUGAGGAGACCAUAGCUGCACAGCCAGUCCAGAUGUAUAAUCUCAUCCCUGAACAUUUCUGAUGGUGUGAUUAUGACAUGUGACUUUAUCUGGCAACAGAGUGAGUUGUUGCUCCCGCCUGAGCCCAGCCCCCAGAAAGGAUUGUGACAUAUCGUUGGACCCAGAAUUGAGAAGGCAUUGAGACAUGGCUGGGCUCAGCACUAAGAAGAUGUGAGUCCUCUGCCUGAAGCCUGACCACAGGGAGCAUUGUGACACAUUUCUUGACCCAUUACAAUCUCUUCUACGGGCAAAGCUGAGGUGGAAUUGUGACAUAUAACUUGGCCAAGCACACAGAUGUAAUGGUGUGGUGACUCUCAUACCUAGAACUGGGACCUGUGCAGGAUUGUUAAUUCAUUACUGGACAUUCCUGUGGGUGUGAUUGUUACAUAUGCCUAUGUUCAGCACCCGAGUGAUUUGAUUUUGCUGCCUGGUCUCAGUCCAAAUGUAAGAUUGUGAUUUAUCGCUGAAUCCAGCACCUCGGUGAUUUGACUCUCCCUUUUUUUGUGGGAGGGAUCCUGCAAAUUUUGGGUAUUGUCAAUUAUUGCUGAAUCCUGUACCCAUGUUAUGACUCUCCCAAAUGUGCCUUACCUGUUGUGGCACAAUAUAUCACAUUAGACAUUGUUAAAUAUUGUUGGGUUCAACACCUGGGUGAUGGAUGUAACUUUUUUUCUGGGCCUGCCUACAGGGGACCUUGUGACAUAACUCAAUGCCCAUCAUCAUGGUAAUGUUACUCUCUUCUCCUGCCUGAUCUCUGCUCACAGAGAAAUUGUGACACAUCACUGGCCUAGCAUCUAGGUGAUGUGACUCUCCUCUUUUUUUCAGGCUCUGCAUAUUUGGGUAUUGUGACAUAUUGCUGAACUCAACACCUAAGGGAUGGGAGUCUCCUACCUAGGCCCUUCCUACAGGGGACAUUGUGACAUGUCUCUGCAUUCCUCAUCCAGGAGAUGUGACUCUCCUUUUCUGCCUACACCCUGCCUACACAGAAAGUUGUGGCAUAUUGCUGUGGUCAGCAACCAGAUGAUAUAUUUCUCCUGCCUGGGUCUUUAUUACAGGAAAGAUGAUUGACAUAUUACUGGGCCCAGCAUCCAGAUGAUGUGACUCUCUUCUUCUGUUGGUCCUUGCUUACAGGGAAACUGUAGCAUAUUGCUACACCCAACACCUAGCUUAUGUGAUUCUUCUUUUAGGUUUGCCUUCAGGGAACAUUGUGACAUAUUGCUGGGCCCUGCACUGAUAAUUUGUGACUCUUCUGCCUGUGAUUUGCCCACUUGGGGCAUUGUGACAUAUUGCUGGGUUUAACACUCAGGUGAUGUAACUUUUAUGCCUAGGCCUUGCUUACAGGAGGCAUUUUGAAAUGUCUUUGUGGCUGGGCAUGGUGGCUCAUGUCUGUAAUCCCAGCGCUUGGGGAGGCCAAGGUGGGCAGAUCACAAAGUCAGGAGUUCGAGACCAGCCUGGUCAACAUGGUGAAAACCUGUCUCUACUAAAACAAAACAAAACAAAACAAAACAAAACAAAACAAAACAAAACAAAACAAAUAAAACCACAAAAAUCAGCCAGGUGUGGUGAUUGGUGCCUGUAGUUGCAGCUACUCAGGAGGCUGAGGCAGGAUAAUCGCUUAAGUCCAGGAGGUGGAGGUUGCAGUGAGCUGAGAUUGCACCACUGCACUCCAUCCUGGGCAACAGAGUGAGACUCCAUCUCCAAAAAAAAUAAAAUAAAAUAAAAUAAA
ensembl:lncRNA novel transcript